CUAGGGGUUAGAUGUGAAAGAAACCUGAGCUGGUGAAGCCUGAGGACUUAGUGCUCGCCGCAAUCAAAGUAAGGUAGAGCUGAUUAGCCACGGUGAAACCUGCCUGUGACAUCCCCAGGAUCCCCGUCUGACAUACGGAAAAACAGGCCAUUCCUAAAUGAACGUGAUUACUGUUCAACAGUCAAAGUUGAAUGGAUACAGUUUCCAUGACGCCGUGGCUCAUGCUAACAAUCAUACAGUACAGCGAGCACCUUAAAGGGGAGCAAGAAAAGGUGUUUUAUCUGGAGCAGUGUGACCACCUGAAAGCCGGAAAACAGCAAAUGCACUGUGCUCUGAUCAAGCCUGACCUUGCUUAUUUGAAGCUACAAAAGGUAGUCCUCCUUGAACUCAUCCAUUAACCUGUUUGUUUACAAUCUGGCCUGACAUGCCACAGUAAAACACUUUCUCUCCCACACGUGUGGAAACUGUUGCACUGUCGCACAGUUGUAAUAACUGGGUUGCGUGAAUGCCAUACAUAAGGAUAUAUGCAGUUCAAACACAACAGGAGCGCACUGAUGUGGUCUUGCUAAAUGAAUUGUGCCACCAGCAAUUAUGACUCCAUUAUCACUUAAUUGAUUUUUCCACAAAUUGUCAGAACAUUGUGUAAUUGAGUGGCAAGCGGUCAUCACACUGAUUGUUGUUUUUCUCUAACUACUAUUCAUGAGCCAUCCAUCCAGCCAGCCAUCAUGCAGGCGGCACCCUAAGCAUGGAAGCCCAGACUUACAUCUCCCCCAGCCACUUCGUCCAGUUCUUCUGGGAGAUCGCAAGGCAUUCCCAGGCCAGCCAAGAGACACAGUUGCUCCAGUGGGACGUGCCCAGAACCAAUCACCAGGGAGGCACUCAGGGGGCAUCCUAAUGCGAUGCCUGAGCCACCUCCUCUGGCUCCUCCACUUUACUUUGAGUCCCUCCCGUACGACAGAGCUUCUCGUCUAUAUGGGAGAGCCCGGAUACCCUGCGGAGGAACUUCCUUUCGGCCGCUGAUCUUGCUCUCUGGGUCAUGACCCACAGCUUGUGGCCAUCGGUGAAGGUGGGAACGUAGUGUAAAUCGAAAACUUCGCCUUUAAGCUCAGCUACUUCUUAACCACAACAGACAGAUGCAGAGUCUGCAUACUGUAACUGCAGACGUUGCGCCGAUCUGCUUGUCGAUCUCCCGCUCCAUUCUUCCUUCACUCGUGAAAAAGACCAUGGAGUCAGAUUUGGAGGUGCUGAUUCUCCUCCUAUCCAUGACUGAAAUGUUAUUUCAUAUAGCAGUGGUUUUAAGAAGUAGUAGUUAAUCUUUCCAAAUAGUCUAUCUUCAAAACUUGGAGAUGGGUUUUUCUUUUUCAUUUAAUCCGUCAAGAGCCAAUACCCUCUCUUAGAAUUUACUCAAAGAGAAUUUACUUGUGUUGUGGAGCAUCUUGUGUGUAGUUUGCAGUUCCUAUCCAACCAAGGGAAUUCUGAUGCCUGCUUUCUCUCCUGUAAAAUAUGGUAUGAAACCCAGCUAACAUUGUGAGGGGCUUUUGUGGUCCCCCCAUUAUGGGUAUAGAAAAUAUAUUUGGCAAAACAAAAUGUGGUACCACGUAUAUUUUUAUACUGGCAGCAUGGCUGACAAAUCUUUCGUCUUUUGUGAAGAAUAUAGGAUGUGGGCUUUCAUCAUUAUAUUGUAGCUGGUAAAACACUUUAGAUGUGUCUGUUCCUCAAGCAUGAGAGACUUGAUGCUGUUUGUGACUCAGCCAACUCCGGUGCUGUCAUUGCAUCCAUCCAUCCAUGUUUAAAUCUAAAUGUUUCUUAACACAAUGUUUGUAUACCUGCGUUUUGGGGACUUUAUACAGCUUUUAAUGUCAGUCAGAUCAAAAUUGAACCAGAGGUAUGUGAAGAAUUUUGCUUUUCUGUUGGGUUUAUGUUAGCAUCCGGCACAUUCUGUUGAAAUGAUGGCCAUCACUGAGACUGAAAAACUGUCAAAGACUGUCAAUAAAAAAAACUCACGUCAACACACACGAAUAAAAGGCAGCAUGAG